GACGAGCGGCGGACGGGUGAGUAAUACUUAGGAAUCUACCUAGUAGUGGGGGAUAGCUCGGGGAAACUCGAAUUAAUACCGCAUACGACCUACGGGAGAAAGGGGGCAACUUGUUGCUCUCGCUAUUAGAUGAGCCUAAGUCGGAUUAGCUAGAUGGUGGGGUAAAGGCCUACCAUGGCGACGAUCUGUAGCUGGUCUGAGAGGAUGAUCAGCCACACCGGGACUGAGACACGGCCCGGACUCCUACGGGAGGCAGCAGUGGGGAAUAUUGGACAAUGGGGGAAACCCUGAUCCAGCCAUGCCGCGUGUGUGAAGAAGGCCUUUUGGUUGUAAAGCACUUUAAGCAGUGAAGAAGACUCCAUGGUUAAUACCCAUGGACGAUGACAUUAGCUGCAGAAUAAGCACCGGCUAACUCUGUGCCAGCAGCCGCGGUAAUACAGAGGGUGCAAGCGUUAAUCGGAAUUACUGGGCGUAAAGGGAGCGUAGGUGGCUCGAUAAGUCAGAUGUGAAAUCCCCGGGCUCAACCUGGGAACUGCAUCUGAUACUGUUGAGCUAGAGUAUGUGAGAGGAAGGUAGAAUUCCAGGUGUAGCGGUGAAAUGCGUAGAGAUCUGGAGGAAUACCGAUGGCGAAGGCAGCCUUCUGGCAUAAUACUGACACUGAGGCUCGAAAGCGUGGGUAGCAAACAGGAUUAGAUACCCUGGUAGUCCACGCCGUAAACGAUGUCUACUAGUCGUUGGGUCCCUUGAGGACUUAGUGACGCAGCUAACGCAAUAAGUAGACCGCCUGGGGAGUACGGCCGCAAGGUUAAAACUCAAAUGAAUUGACGGGGGCCCGCACAAGCGGUGGAGCAUGUGGUUUAAUUCGAUGCAACGCGAAGAACCUUACCUGGUCUUGACAUAUCUAGAAUCCUGCAGAGAUGCGGGAGUGCCUUCGGGAAUUAGAAUACAGGUGCUGCAUGGCUGUCGUCAGCUCGUGUCGUGAGAUGUUGGGUUAAGUCCCGCAACGAGCGCAACCCUUGUCCUUAGUUACCAGCGGGUUAAGCCGGGAACUCUAAGGAUACUGCCAGUGACAAACUGGAGGAAGGCGGGGACGACGUCAAGUCAUCAUGGCCCUUACGACCAGGGCUACACACGUGCUACAAUGGUAGGUACAGAGGGCAGCUACACAGCGAUGUGAUGCGAAUCUCAAAAAGCCUAUCGUAGUCCGGAUUGGAGUCUGCAACU
rnacentral:rRNA from 1 species